UGGGGAAUUUUGGACAAUGGGCGAAAGCCUGAUCCAGCAAUGCCGCGUGUGUGAAGAAGGCCUUCGGGUUGUAAAGCACUUUUGUCCGGAAAGAAAUCCUUGGCUCUAAUACAGUCGGGGGAUGACGGUACCGGAAGAAUAAGCACCGGCUAACUACGUGCCAGCAGCCGCGGUAAUACGUAGGGUGCAAGCGUUAAUCGGAAUUACUGGGCGUAAAGCGUGCGCAGGCGGUUUGCUAAGACCGAUGUGAAAUCCCCGGGCUCAACCUGGGAACUGCAUUGGUGACUGGCAGGCUAGAGUAUGGCAGAGGGGGGUAGAAUUCCACGUGUAGCAGUGAAAUGCGUAGAGAUGUGGAGGAAUACCGAUGGCGAAGGCAGCCCCCUGGGCCAAUACUGACGCUCAUGCACGAAAAGCGUGGGGAGCAAACAGGAUUAGAUACCCUGGUAGUCCACGCCCUAAAACGAUGUCAACUAGUUGUUGGGGAUUCAUUUCCUUAGUAACGUAGCUAACGCGUGAAGUUGACCGCCUGGGGAGUACGGUCGCAAAGAUUAAAAACUUAAAUGGAAUUGACGGGGUCAUAGCUGUUUCCU
rnacentral:rRNA from 1 species